CUUAGUUGUGCUUUCCUUCCUUGCAACUGUUACAAUUAAUAUCUUAUAAUAAGCUCUCCUUUUCCAGGUUCGCUGUAGGCUUUGUAAAGAAAAAAAAUACUUCCAUGCAACAUGUGGAUGUUCCCUGCAUCCUGCUGUCGAAGAGAAUAAUGACCAAUCGCAAAACCAAAACAAAGUCAGCUUGGAAUACAAUUUAAGAAAAGACCCCCAGAAGAUAUGCACCAUGUCUGAAGUCAAGAAAACAAGACACAUCUCCAGACCAGUCAUUAACAGACAGUGUAUCUUGGCUUUAUGAGAGUGUGCAAGCUCAUACUGAACAGUGUAAGAAGCUUGUGAAUGCAUUAUGCCAGUUAUGUCCAGGGAGAGUGUUGAUAAAAGGAACUGCAAACAUAUUGGG